UGGGCUUGGAGUUUAUUAGACUCAGACCUUUAUGUAGCAAGGUUACAUUUAACAAAUCACAUAGAAAAAGAAGGAUUCCUAAAAUCUCUCUCCCAUCUCUUUUUGUUUAGGUCAGUUGGGAUGGCCAACUAGGAUGAAUUUGAACUUUACGAAGAAAAUUUAACGCAUUUCCUCGUGAUUCUCUCUCCAAUCAAGCUGAUAAUAAAAAUUAAUCAUCACAUACUCUGAUCCCUUCUUAAAGCAGUUUACGGAACAAUGGAAUGCCUACCUGGAAGUACUAGCUGGAGGUCACCACCCUGGAUGCUUUUAAUUUGCACCUGGCUUACUUCUGACAAGUGUACUCCAGGCCAAGAACAGCACAGAACAUGUGGCUUAUGCACUUGGUUGAUGCCCUUGACUCAUGAAGGUAAAUAAAGUUAACACUUGCUGUUGGUGGUGAAGAUGUUGCGGUUGAAUGGAAACCUCCUCAGAGUUGGAUCAGUAACUGGC
rnacentral:lncRNA from 1 species